rnacentral:rRNA from 1 species
AACGAACGCUGGCGGCAGGCCUAACACAUGCAAGUCGAACGAGAAGCCACCUUCGGGUGUGGACAGUGGCAGACGGGUGAGUAACGCGUGGGAACGUGCCUUUCGGUUCGGGACAACCCAGGGAAACUUGGGCUAAUACCCGGACACGCCCUUCGGGGAAGAUUCAUUGCCGAAAGAUCGGCCCGCGUCGGAUUAGCUAGUUGGUGGGGUAAAAGCCUACCAAGGCGACGAUCCGUAGCUGGUC